AAUACAUGCAAGUCGAACGAGUUCUGAUUAUUGAAAGGUGCUUGCAUCUUGAUUUAAUUUUGAACGAGUGGCGGACGGGUGAGUAACACGUGGGUAACCUGCCCUUAAGUGGGGGAUAACAUUUGGAAACAGAUGCUAAUACCGCAUAAAUCCAAGAACCGCAUGGUUCUUGGCUGAAAGAUGGCGUAAGCUAUCGCUUUUGGAUGGACCCGCGGCGUAUUAGCUAGUUGGUGAGGUAACGGCUCACCAAGGCAAUGAUACGUAGCCGAACUGAGAGGUUGAUCGGCCACAUUGGGACUGAGACACGGCCCAAACUCCUACGGGAGGCAGCAGUAGGGAAUCUUCCACAAUGGACGCAAGUCUGAUGGAGCAACGCCGCGUGAGUGAAGAAGGCUUUCGGGUCGUAAAACUCUGUUGUUGGAGAAGAAUGGUCGGCAGAGUAACUGUUGUCGGCGUGACGGUAUCCAACCAGAAAGCCACGGCUAACUACGUGCCAGCAGCCGCGGU
rnacentral:rRNA from 2 species